rnacentral:misc_RNA from 1 species
UUGUUAUUAAAAUGAGGCUGCAUGUAUUCGGAAUUACAAUUGAGUUUUGAAUCUUAGCCAAAAGUAAAGCCUACCAAAAAUGAACAAUCUGAGUUUGGCGUUCAAUUUGCUAAGGCAGCGUCUAGCAUUUACAGCAACACCUGUGCGCCAUUAUGCGGUCAAGCCAGCUGCCGCGGGAGCAGCGGGCAAAAAGAAGAAGCUCGGCAAGCUGGGGCCCAUUAUGGAGAAGAAAGUUUUACCCGUCGAAACGGACGCCAACAAAUUGGUGAGCUACGUCUGCGGCAGCAACUACAUGAAAACCGGCGAGGAUAUCAAGCUCAAGCCGGACGCCGAGUACCCUGACUGGCUGUGGACCCUUAACACCGAGCGCAUUGUGCCGCUGGAAGAGCUGGACCCCAACAGCAAACAGUAUUGGCGCCGCCUGCGCAAAAUGGCGCUGCGACGGAACAAUCAAUUGUCCAAGCUGAAAAAGUUUUAAGUGAGACACAAUACAAAAUCAGCUAGAACUGAUCUUUAAACCUGGCCGAGGAUGGGCCCAAGCUCUUCGAAAUUUAUCACUUCGAUAUGGAUUAAAAUCUGGAUUUAUAUAAUAUAUGGCUAUAUUGCGUG